UACGUAGGGUGCAAGCGUUAAUCGGAAUUACUGGGCGUAAAGCGUGCGCAGGCGGUUAUGUAAGACAGUUGUGAAAUCCCCGGGCUCAACCUGGGAACUGCAUCUGUGACUGCAUAGCUAGAGUACGGUAGAGGGGGAUGGAAUUCCGCGUGUAGCAGUGAAAUGCGUAGAUAUGCGGAGGAACACCGAUGGCGAAGGCAAUCCCCUGGACCUGUACUGACGCUCAUGCACGAAAGCGUGGGGAGCAAACGGG
rnacentral:rRNA from 1 species